rnacentral:lncRNA from 1 species
AUACGUUCUAAAACAAAUAAUUAAACAAACACAGGUUGUCUAACUCAGAUAUGCUUAAUAGAUCCUGGCUCCCAAUCUUGUCAGAAAUCUUCUAAAUGUAACGUUAAAUGCUUAAGCUUAUUGUGAUAGACAGAGACUCCCAAAGCCUAACAGCGACUCCCCGCUCCCCGCAAGGUCUCCGAGAAGAUAUUGGCACAGUGACAGGACUGCCUGCAUUGCGGUAUAAUAACCACUGAGAAGCACUGCUUCCUUGCCUUGCCCGCUGCCAGAGCUUGGCCUAAACUGUGGACAAACAAAAGGUAAGCUAACUGUAGCUCGACAGCUAGGAAACAGACCCAGCUCCUUACC